CAUCUCAAUAAAUAAAUAAAUAAGCAAAAGAAACAGGGAAUCUUCUAAUUCUUCUGUCAGCACCUGUAUCGGCCAUGGAUAAAGCUGCUGGAGUUUACCUUGAUGUGUCCAGCCCUGCAGGGAGUUGAAGGCUAUUUCCCAGGGAGCUGACCAUUGGGAAGAUAAACACACCAGAUGCAAACCCCCUCCAUUCAAUGGAGUAAGGGUCAUUGUGGAAGCAGACAAAGGACUUUGCUAACAAGGGAAGAAGUGAUUUCAGGCACCCAGGGAGGACUCCAAGAGAGGAGAAAUGUGAGCUGAAAGCAAGUUUGGAGCCUUUAGCUUAAAAUGAUUGCCUGUCCUAGCUGGGAUUGGAGAAUUGAGAGAAAGGCAUGUGACCCUCCUGGGACCCAGAGGUAAGUACAAGGAGAGCAGCAGCCCAAAGAAGCCCCUGGAGCUAGGGCUGGAGGGGAGCCGAGAAGCAAGUAUCUGCCAUGGGCUGGAUAGCCAAGGUGAAGAGCCUGCCCAGGAUCCAUACGACAAAAUGGAAAGAUUCUUUGGUGCUCCCAAGAGGUCCUGA